AGCCAAGCAUUUUGGUUUUAAUCCGGAAGAGCAUCCUCUACUAGCACUUUCAGACACUCUAUAUUUUGAUGCUACUCACCUAUCCAAAACUGGAUUCAGUUUGCCACCUUCUGACAUUGCACAACCAACAGCAGAUAUAGGACCCACUGCACAACCAGAGGCACAAUCUGUACCACCAGUCCAACAGCAUUCUACUGAACCUACACCACCCACUUAGUCUGCACAGGAUAUCCCAGCAGAUUCUGCACAGCCUACACCUUCUGCAGCUGGACCCUCUU
rnacentral:misc_RNA from 1 species